rnacentral:rRNA from 1 species
UACGUAGGGUGCGAGCGUUGUCCGGAAUUACUGGGCGUAAAGAGCUCGUAGGUGGUUUGUCGCGUUGUCCGUGAAAACUCACAGCUCAACUGUGGGCGUGCGGGCGAUACGGGCAGACUGGAGUACUGCAGGGGAGACUGGAAUUCCUGGUGUAGCGGUGGAAUGCGCAGAUAUCAGGAAGAACACCCGUGGCGAAGGCGGCUCUCUGGGACGGUACUGACGCUGAGACGCGAAAGCGUGGGGAGCGAGCAGG